AGCGUUAUUCGGAUUCACUGGGCGUAAAGGGUGCGCAGGCGGCCGAGUGUGUGAGGCGUGAAAGCCCGGGGCUUAACCCCGGAAUUGCACCUCAAACUACACGGCUAGAGCAUUGGAGAGGGUAGCGGAAUUCACGGUGUAGCAGUGAAAUGCGUAGAUAUCGUGAGGAACACCAGAGGCGAAGGCGGCUACCUGGACAAUUGCUGACGCUCAGGCACGAAAGCGUGGGGAGCAAAAGGG
rnacentral:rRNA from 1 species